GCAUAUCACUAAGCGGAGGAAAAGAAACUAACUAGGAUUCCCCCAGUAACUGCGAGUGAAGAGGGAAGAGCUCAUCAUUGGAAUCUGGCAGUGUUUCACUGUCCGAGUUGUAGAUGAGGAGUAGUCCGUCUGGACUGCAUGGCGUCCAAGUACAAUAGGCCGUCAGUGGGACAUCAUAGAGGGUGACAAUCCCGUCCUUGACGCCAAUGUGCAAGUCUAUUACGAUGGCUAUCUCAGAGAGUCGAGCAGUUUGGGAUUUGCUGCUUAAACAUGGGAGGUAGAUUCCUUCUAAAGCUAAAUACAGGCGAGAGACCGAUAGAGAACAAGUACCGCAAGGGAAAGAUGAAAUAGCACUCUGUGAAGGGAGUCAAAAGGCGUGAAAUUGUUGCGAGAGAAGCGAUUCAAGUCAGCGUAGCUAGGCCCAUCAAGCGUCUUCGCUUUGGACUAGCUUUGCCAGCGGUCUUGUCCCUUAAAGAGACUUGACUUGUAAUAUGUCCAGCCUGGCGUGCACAGGCAGCCCCUUCUGGGGGCCAGUGACAUGGCUGGUGGAAUGGCUUGCAAUCGACCCGUCUUGAAACACGGACCAAGGAGUCUAACAUGUAUGCGAGUAUAAGGGUGGCAAACCCGUAUGCGCAAUGAAAGUGAUUUUCGGUGAUUGAGAAUGGCCUGAUGACCAGACAAGCAAUAUAUGUCCCUCGUACGGCCAUUGCCCAAGUUCCGUGGUAGAUCCCACGAACAUGGAGUUGGAGCAUACAUGCUAGGACCCGAAAGAUGGUGAACUAUGCCUGGACAAAGCGAAGCCAAAGGAAACUCUGGUGGAGGCUUGUAGCGAUUCUGACGUGCAAAUCGAUCG
rnacentral:rRNA from 2 species